UUCCUUCUUUCUUUCUUUCUUUCUUUCUUUCUUUCUUUCUUUCUUUCUUUCUUUCUUUCUUUCUUUCUUUCUUUCUUUCUUUCUUUCUUUCUCGAGUACGUAUUAGAUAAUAUAUAUAACAAUAAGCAUGAAUUGAAUAAAUAAAAUGAAUACAAUUAAAGGGAACAUUAGGACAGGGAACAAGCACCUGCCUGCAAACACGAAUAGCAAGAGAGCAGAAAUCCUUAUGAAAUAGUGUUGUGCCUUGGUGCACAUAUACAUAAACGUGACGCAAGGCACAAAAUGCAUAAGGUACAUUGUUUCUAGGCAGUUGUUAUUAUAACUAUGUUGUAAUUGUAGGCUUCCUUCCUGCUUUUUGUUUUUGUAGGGUUGGGAUUUUGUUGCUUGGCUUAUCAGGGUUUUUCUUCUUAAGUAGCCCAAUUUGAACAAGCAGAUUUUUUUAAUGCUUUCAUCUGCAAAUAUUUCAUUGCUGUCUUAUUGUUCAGGAUCUUUUCACAUAAGAACCAAAAAAGCUUACUAAAAUCUAAAAGUGAUCCAUUUGUGCAGCCAAAUUUAUGUGUACAGCUAGUCCUCAUUUACAAGUAGAGCUGGCAACUCCUUGGCUAAGUGACACUUCAUAGAGUGAAACAUCAUGCGAUUAUUUUGAUUAUAGGACACCAGUUCCAGCUGCAGUUGUUAAGCAUUUUACUAGACUGCAACUUGUAUUUUCGUGCUGGCUUCCCCACUGACUUCGUUUUUCCAAAGCCUGCUGUGAAGAUUGCAAAUGGUGAUCAUGUGACCAUGGGGACAAUUUUGAAAACUGAUCUGAAAUCUUUUUCAGCACUGUGGGUAACUAUGAACAGUGGCCAGUAAGCAAGGACUCCUUUCUUGUUACAGGAGGAACUUGACUAUUCAAAAGCCCUUGGUUGGAUAUUAGAAGUUUACUCAAAUGGUGACUGGAAUUUCCAUUUAUUUCAAAUUCCAGCCACCUCCCUCCGAGAUGUUCUAGUUUGUAUCCAAUAUUCCAAUCUUGUGAAAGUGCAACUGCUCUGCAUGCAACAUCUUCCCGGUAUGAUGUCUAAAGAGGAAUCACAAAACAAUUUUGGAUGGAAGCAUUAAAAGUCAGGCUGAAUAGAUACUACGUUUUAUUUACCGGUGUUGGCCCAAGGAUUUUAGAUGUCGUUCAUUCCUCAAAUAUUUUUC